UACUGAUGCCAGAUUAGCCAAUAAGAAGGUCAAGGCCAUCGGAUCUAGGAGACCCUGGCCUCUCCGCUGGUGGAUCUGGCUGGCUGG
rnacentral:pre_miRNA from 1 species